GCACUGGCUCCGCGUCGGCCGGUCGGUUUGGUCGGUUGUAGUGGCCUCGCCGCCCGGUCCGCUGUCGCAGCGCUCAUCCGCGCCGGGAGCCCUUGGCUGCGUCGCCCGGCAGCCGCGGCUGGAGUGUAGUGGCGCAAUCUUGGAUCACCACAACCUCCGUCUCCCAGGUUCAAGCGAUUCUCCCGCCUCAGCCUCCUGAGUAGCAAUUACAGGGAGCAUUUCCUGAAGACGUAGUCAUGCAGCACGUCAGCAGCUCCCAGAGCAGCCAGCGCCAUGUCCAGUGGCCUGGGGCCUGCCCCGGCGCGGGCGAGGAGCAGCCAGCGUGCUCCCAGCCGUCCCUGCCCCUCACACUGCCAUCCCCCAGCCACCAACUACAGCAGCUGAUGGUGAGAGGGGGCCCUGCGGGUGGGCAGAACAUGAAUGUUGACCUGCAGGGCGUGGGCCCUGGGCUCCAGGGAAGCCCACAGGUCACGCUGGCCCCACUGCCGCUCCCCAGCCCCACCUCUCCAGGCUUCCAGUUCAGCGCUCAGCCUCGGCGGUUUGAGCAUGGGUCUCCAUCAUACAUUCAGGUCACGUCCCCCUUGUCCCAGCAGGUCCAGACCCAGAGUCCCACGCAGCCCAGUCCGGGGCCGGGGCAGGCCUUGCAGAAUGUGCGUGCAGGUGCCCCUGGCCCUGGGCUGGGCCUCUGCAGCAGCAGCCCUACAGGGGACUUCGUGGAUGCCAGCGUGCUGGUGAGGCAGAUCAGCUUGAGCCCCUCCAGUGGUGGACACUUUGUGUUUCAGGAUGGGUCAGGGCUCACCCAGAUCGCCCAGGGAGCCCAGGUUCAGCUCCAGCACCCGGGUACGCCCAUCACAGUCCGAGAGCGGAGACCCUCCCAGCCCCACACACAGUCAGGGGGCACCAUCCACCACCUGGGACCCCAGAGCCCUGCAGCCGCGGGUGGGGCCGGCCUGCAGCCCCUGGCCAGCCCAAGCCACAUCACCACGGCUAACUUGCCACCGCAGAUCAGCAGCAUCAUCCAGGGCCAGCUGGUUCAGCAGCAGCAGGUGCUGCAGGGGCCGCCGCUGCCCCGGCCCCUGGGCUUCGAGAGGACGCCCGGCGUGCUGCUCCCCGGGGCUGGGGGCGCAGCGGGGUUUGGGAUGACGUCCCCACCCCCGCCCACCAGCCCUUCCAGGACUGCCGUGCCCCCAGGCCUUUCCAGCCUCCCACUCACGUCUGUGGGGAACACGGGAAUGAAGAAGGUUCCCAAGAAGUUAGAGGAGAUUCCCCCAGCCUCUCCGGAGAUGGCACAGAUGAGGAAGCAGUGCCUGGACUAUCAUCACCAGGAGAUGCAGGCUCUGAAGGAGGUCUUCAAGGAGUAUUUGAUUGAACUGUUUUUCUUGCAACACUUUCAAGGGAACAUGAUGGAUUUCUUAGCUUUCAAGGAGAGACUGUAUGGACCAUUACAAGCAUAUCUUAGGCAGAAUGAUUUGGACAUUGAAGAAGAGGAAGAGGAGCACUUUGAAGUCAUUAAUGAUGAGGUAAAGGUUGUGGCCAGAAAGCACGGGCAGCCUGGGACUCCUGUUGCCAUAGCAACCCAGCUACCGCCGAGGACUUCUGCGGCUUUUCCAGCCCAGCAGCAGCCGCUCCAGCAAAUACAUAUGGGGACUCCAGUACCUGGAGAUGUGAAUUCCAUAAAAAUGGAAGCAUCUAAGAGGCAGUGAACACUGGCGCCCACAGGAGAACCAGGUGCAUCAGCGCAUUGCGGAGCUGAGGAAAGCAGGUCUGUGGUCCCAGAGGCGUCUGCUGAAGCUGCAGGAGGCCCACGACCCAAGUCCCACUGGGACUAUCUGCUGGAGGAGAUGCAGUGGAUGGCCACAGACUUUGCCCAGGAGAGGUGGAAGGUGGCCUCUGUGAAGAAGAUGGUCAGAGCUGUGGCCCGGCAGCUGCAGGACAGGACGCGCAGGGAGGCCGGGGCCAGGAGGGAGGAGCCGAGCAGGCUGAGGCAGACGUCACCUGUACUACCAGAGAAAUCGAGCGUCCCUGGUCUAGUACUGCGCAGGUAAAGAUUCCAGCAUCUUGGAAGCAAGUGCUCCACUGGAAAAUAAAAGCCACGUGGUGAGUGUUUUCUUUGUGAUAUCAGAACUUCAUGUUCCGGGUGAGGGGCUUCAGGGUGCCCGUGUCCUUGCCGGGGGGCUCCGGUCUCCAGUCUCCUCAGCAUUUCCCUCUGGUCUCCCUCCAGAGAGGACAGAUCUACUCACGAUCUUUGGGACCACCCAGAAAGGGUCAAUUUCAAAAUCGAAUUUUCUCAGGAUGACUUCAAAUCAAAACAGAAACGUGUGGUCUUGCCUUUGGUUUUUCCGCCCAAACUGCCUUUUGGCUUUGCCGUGUGGGGACCGGGCACCUCGACUGUCCUCUGUGUCCUGUGAUGGGGCAGGUUACGCCAUGUCUGAUCAGUAGGACAGCGUCCCUUGGGUUCAUACCCUUUAUCUGCAGUUCUAAAACUCUGAAAGCUCAGACAGCAGAAAGGUUUUGCCCACUCAGUGUUGCUCACUCAUUUUGCAGCAAACCUGACCCACACCGAGGCCAGGCCAGCCCCGCGGUCCUGGUGGGUGAGUGUGUCUGGGUGCUAUUGCUGUGGAAACGUCGGCGUGUUUGGUCAUGGCUGCCAGAUGCCGUCCCUAACACUUUCCCAUGCUUAUUUGACUUAUGUCAUUACCUUACUUCUCUGAAACAGUCUGAAUUCCAAACCCUGUGUGGCCCUAAGGAUUUUGGAUAAGGGACUAUGUACCUAUAAUAUAAAUAAGCCAUAUUAUUUACAAUCAUGAGUUUCUGAAUGUUCACUUUUUUUAUUUUUGGAGACAGAGUCUUGUUCUGUCACCCAGGCUUUAGAGUACCACAGUGUGAUCUCGGCUCACCGCAGCCUCCGCCUCCUGGGUUCAAGCGAUUCUCCUGCCUUAGCCUCCUCGGUAGCUGGGACUACGGGCAUGAGCCACCAGAUCCAACUAAUUUUUUGUAUUUUUAGUAGAGACGGGGUUUCACCAUGUUGGCCAGGCUGGUCUUGAGCUCCUGAUCUCAGGUGAUCUGCCCGUCUCACCCUCCCAAAGGGCUGGGAUUACAGGUGUGAGCCACUGUGCCCAGCCAGAAUAUUCACUUCUAAAUGUGGGUGUGUAUUCAGGUGACUUGGGAUUAAAAAAAAAAGAAAAAACCCUUAUGGGAUUUUAUAUUUAGAAGUUCUGUUGUUGAAAUAUGAACCUGUAUCUGUUGUUGCAGUGGCAGAAGGCUGCAGCACAAUGAAUGAUUAUUGUGAAAGCUGGUAAUUUUGUGCCCACAAAUAAUUGUCAAGAACUUUCUAAUAAUAAAAUACAGAAAUAGAUUAAUAGUUGCUACAAACAUAAAGAGAGACUCCAUGGUAGAACACUUUAGGAAGCACAUUUUAUCUUUUUUGAACCAACAUGUAUUUCCAAACAUGUAAGUAAUAAUAUCAAGCGUGGUGGGAAGAUUGGAUUGGAGGCUGAUUCUGAUCUGUGUGUUGGGAUGAACUGUGGCAUUCACAGCAUUGAGCAAAAUCAUCUUCAAGGACAGCGUUUAAUUCUGUUGUUGACAAGUCUUUUAAGAAAAAGUACUAGUUUGGGAAUUUUUCACAGAUACAAAUAAGCUUGACCCCUAAAUUUAAAAUAUUAUUUAAAAAAUAAAAUGUCAGAUUUAUUCAUCUGUC
rnacentral:lncRNA from 1 species